rnacentral:misc_RNA from 1 species
GUGAAUUGUAAUGGGGGCUCGAUGCUGGCUGUCAUUCUUUGGCUGCAUGUGCUCGCCCUUAGCAAUCCUUUUCCAAACACCUGUGCACCCUUGUGAGUUCGAGGAAGGGGGGACUCUUUCUUGUCUCAUGAUUCAUAAACGCUGCUUGUAAAUGAUGAAUGCUGUUCGUGCCGUUAAGGCCUUAAUCAUAAUA